GACGAACGCUGGCGGCGUGCUUAACACAUGCAAGUCGAACGGAAAGGCCCUGCUUUUGUGGGGUGCUCGAGUGGCGAACGGGUGAGUAACACGUGAGUAACCUGCCCUUGACUUUGGGAUAACUUCAGGAAACUGGGGCUAAUACCGGAUAGGAGCUCCUGCUGCAUGGUGGGGGUUGGAAAGUUUCGGCGGUUGGGGAUGGACUCGCGGCUUAUCAGCUUGUUGGUGGGGUAGUGGCUUACCAAGGCUUUGACGGGUAGCCGGCCUGAGAGGGUGACCGGCCACAUUGGGACUGAGAUACGGCCCAGACUCCUACGGGAGGCAGCAGUGGGGAAUAUUGCACAAUGGGCGGAAGCCUGAUGCAACAACGCCGCGUGCGGGAUGACGGCCUCCGGGUUGUAAACCGCUUUCGCCUGUGACGAAGCGUGAGUGACGGUAAUGGGUAAAGAAGCACCGGCUAACUACGUG
rnacentral:rRNA from 1 species